AUUGAACGCUGGCGGCAUGCCUUACACAUGCAAGUCGAACGGUAACAGGUUAAGCUGACGAGUGGCGAACGGGUGAGUAAUAUAUCGGAACGUGCCCAGUCGUGGGGGAUAACUGCUCGAAAGAGCAGCUAAUACCGCAUACGACCUGAGGGUGAAAGCGGGGGAUCGCAAGACCUCGCGCGAUUGGAGCGGCCGAUAUCAGAUUAGGUAGUUGGUGGGGUAAAAGCCUACCAAGCCAACGAUCUGUAGCUGGUCUGAGAGGACGACCAGCCACACUGGGACUGAGACACGGCCCAGACUCCUACGGGAGGCAGCAGUGGGGAAUUUUGGACAAUGGACGCAAGUCUGAUCCAGCCAUGCCGCGUGCGGGAAGAAGGCCUUCGGGUUGUAAACCGCUUUUGUCAGGGAAGAAAAGGUUCUGAUUAAUACCUGGGACUCAUGACGGUACCUGAAGAAUAAGCACCGGCUAACUACGUGCCAGCAGCCGCAGUAACAC
rnacentral:rRNA from 1 species